rnacentral:rRNA from 1 species
AUUGAACGCUGGCGGCAGGCCUAACACAUGCAAGUCGAACGAGUGGCGGACGGGUGAGCAAUGUCUGGGAAACUGCCUGAUGGAGGGGGAUAACUACUGGAAACGGUAGCUAAUACCGCAUACCAUAAGUUGUGCCCAGAUGGGUUUAGCUUGUGGGUGGGGUAACGGCACACCAAGGCGACGAUCCCGAGCGGGUCUGAGAGGGUGACCAGCCACACUGGAACUGAGACACGGUCCAGACUCCUACGAGUGGCAGCAGUGGAGAAUAUUGCACAAUUGGCGCAAGCCAGAUGCAGCCAUGCCGCGUGUAUGAAGAAGGCCUUCGGGUUGUAAAGUACUUUCAGCGGUGAGGCGUUACCCGCAGAAGAAGCACCGGCUAACUCCGUGCCAGCAGCCGCGGUAAUAC